GCCUGAGUGGCUCAGUCAGUUAAGCAUCUGACUUUGGUUCAGGUCAUGAUCUCACAGUUCAUGGGUUUGAGCCCUAUGUCGGGCU
rfam:Felis catus isolate Cinnamon breed Abyssinian chromosome D2, whole genome shotgun sequence.